rnacentral:rRNA from 1 species
CAGGACGAACGCUGGCGGCGUGCUUAACACAUGCAAGUCGAACGGUAAGGCCUUUCGGGGUGCACGAGUGGCGAACGGGUGAGUAACACGUGGGUGAUCUGCCCUGCACUUUGGGAUAAGCCUGGGAAACUGGGUCUAAUACCGAAUAGGACCAUGGACUUCACGGUUUGUGGUGGAAAGCUUUUGCGGUGUGGGAUGGGCCCGCGGCCUAUCAGCUUGUUGGUGGGGUAAUGGCCUACCAAGGCGACGACGGGUAGCCGGCCUGAGAGGGUGACCGGCCACACUGGGACUGAGAUACGGCCCAGACUCCUACGGGAGGCAGCAGUGGGGAAUAUUGCACAAUGGGCGCAAGCCUGAUGCAGCGACGCCGCGUGAGGGAUGACGGCCUUCGGGUUGUAAACCUCUUUCAGCACAGACGAAGCGCAAGUGACGGUAUGUGCAGAAGAAGGACCGGCCAACUACGUG